rnacentral:misc_RNA from 1 species
UUAGUUACAAGAUGGCACUCGUUGCGAUAGGGUUGCGAACGCCGAGAGAUGGCGAGAGGGCGAUGUGCAUUUUUUAUGACGCCGUUAGAACUCAGUGUUCAUUCAACAUUCGAACCGUUCGUGUGUGUCGUGACGUGCGUAGGGUGGUGGGAUUCAGAGAUCGCUUGAAAGAUCAAACCGUUUCCAGGCUGAAUCGGCAACCAACUAAACGCUGAGAAAUAAGACCAAUGCAUCGGCUGAAAGACCCUUGGUUUUAAACGUCGCUGCGGAUUUCCACGUGCUAUACCUUAUACGUAUUUCAUCCCGUACUCGUCGUAAGUACUUUGAUCCUGAAAACGUGAUCGUGCAACCGUUACAUCGUCAGUUUUUAGUUUCUGUAAACUUUCUAUUCGGUUAUUUUUACCGUAUUCUCUUCCCGCUGCACCCAUGCGAGCGAGUCAAACUGUUCGGAGUACCCGUGCUGGCGCUUAUUGUUGAACAGUACGACAAAGAAAUCGUCGAGCAACGAUAAUAACACUUUCCAACCAUAACGUUUACACCCAAAUGAUCCCACUCACCGAUUCUAAGUUUUAUUCAUUGUCAAAUUGAAAUCCAUUCCGAUGCGUUUUAUUCGAUAUUGUUUUCCUUCUUUCAAAACGUAUGCAGAUAAACGUUUGCAGGAAGUAAAACGCCAGAGGAAAAUAAAACAACAUAGUAUACAUAAUGAUAAUGAUAAUGAUAAUGAUAAUGAUAACACCAAGAAGGGAAAAGACAAUAUCACCUAAGCCCGCUCCCCCAGACCAUACCUCUUAUUAGGUAUAGUUGCCUAUAGCAAUAUAAAUGAUAUUUAUAUUCAUCAUCAAAACAAACUUCCUUCGGAGUCACGCACCACACGAUAGGUAGAACAAUAUCUUUGUGACACGUGUGUGCAUAAAGAUAUUGUAAUGUAUGACCAUGUGUUUGUAUUGACCGAGAUGCGACGGAGUACUCGUCUUUUUGCUCGGCUGGAGAUAUCCUUCGAAAUUCACGCAAGAAAGAGAGAGAAAUCAGAACUAGGGAAUGAUUUGCCUGACAAUUGUCGAAUGUUAGCUGCUCAUGAUAUAAUAAUUUUUUCAAUGAGAUUCGGUGCCAACCGUGCGAUUUAUGCAGGUAAUCUUACAAUUGGAAUCGAUCAUCAAUUCGAAACAUCCGGAUACGAUAUUCUCAUAUGAAAACCUCGCGGCAAUCCCCCCUCUCGUUCAAUGGCGAAAGAAUGCAAUUUGUCGUUUAUCGUUGAAUCGAAUAUAAUUAUAUUUUUUCUCUCCGUAACAAAACUAAAAAUAUACACACUUCUGUGUCUAGCUACGCUGCAUCAUACAUCUUCAAAAAAAUUAUUCAAGGUAUACAACUAUGUACUCAUAAUUUCAGUUCCAAGUUGUGACGUCGAAUGAUUAUCGGGUAUACUAUAUUCCUUUAACAUUUUCCGUCUUUUUGAACGUGAACGACGAGAAUGCGAAGGAAAAAACAAA